rnacentral:lncRNA from 1 species
UUUUAUUAAAGUGUAGUUGAUUUAUAGUGUUGUAUAAGUUUCUGCUGCACAGCACAGUGACCCAGUCAUCCAUAUAUAUACAUUCCUUAUAUUAUUUUUCAUCAUAGUCUUAUCCCAGGAGACUGGAUAUAGCCCCCUGUGCUGUCCAGCAGGACCUCACUGCUUAUCCAUGCUAAAUGUAAUAGUUUGCAUCUGUAACCCCAAACUCCCUGAGAGCGAUCUUAUCAUCUUAUCGUUGGAAACAAGUUUUCCUUGGAUGAGUUGACACAGCGGGGAGGGAUUGGCCUUGGGGUGGAGGCAGGUUUCCCAGGGUUUGUGUGGGACUUUGGAGCCAAGAGUAAGUUAGAGCCCAUAGCUCUGCUCCCACCAGCUAGGACCCCAGACACCUUGUGACUCCCUGAAAGUUUCAGUGAUGUUUCAGCCACACGCUCAGCACUAGGCCAGGACGGAAGAAGAGCUCUAUGGGGCUAGUAGCCAUGAGUCUGCUUCUGGUGUUUGAUACCACACAAUGCCACCUUUCUGUCCCCUGCCAAGCCAAGUCGACAGACCUUUGAAACCUUUGCAGGAGAAGCCUUUUGCCUUGUUCCCUGUUUCACAAAGCCAGAAUUUUUUUUUAUUUUAUUUUUUCUUUUAUUUUUAGGGAUGCACCCCGGCAUAUGGAAGUUCCCAGGGUAGGAGUCAAAUCAGAGCUGUAGCUGCCAGCCAACGCAGGAUCCAAGCAGUGUCUGUGACCUACCCCACAGCUCACAGCAAUGCCGGAUCCUUAACCCACUGAGCAAGGCUAGACAUCGAACCUGAGUCCUCAUGGAUGGUAGUCAGAUUCAUUAACUGCUGAGCCACGAUGGAAAUUCCCUACAAAGCCAGAAUUUUAAACAGCUGCUUAAAUGGAAAAGUGGGUAGCAUGUCAGUAUCAGGUUAAAAGGAAGCCUGCAGUGUUUGGAGGGACAUGAGAACUCCUGAGAGUCACUGGGGAGUUUAGUCAGCAUGAAGGGGAGUAUUUUGUGCAUAACUGGAACUCAGGAUGGAAGCGGGUAGUGGGGAGUUAGUCACCAAAUGCCUUUGCUGAAACUGUUCAAAGAAAGAAUUUCUUUGUUGCAUAGACUGUCAUUCAGAUCUAGGUGUCUUAUCUUUAAAUAAAUAAUCCUCCAAGGUAGAUACUAUUAUUACCUUCAUUUUCCAGGUGAGGCAAUAAGCACAGAGAGGUUAUGUAACCUUGUCGAGGUCACACAGGGAGUGAGUGGAAGAGUCAGAACACAAACCCCAGCCCACUUGAUUCCAAAGUUGUUUGUUUAUUUGUUUACUUUGUAUGCAGAAGGAGCUUGAUGAGUGUUUAUUGAGUCAAAUCAUUCUCAGACACUAAUUACCCAACACAGAGAGGAUUCCCUCAGAAAGACUCUACAAGGUUGUCACACUCCUCCCCCAAACCACACCAGCCUGCUGGAUUUUGCUCCUGACUUUUUGCUGGUGACAAGAUAUUGUGGCACUGGAACAUUCUGAAAAGGAUGUCAUUGUGGCACACAUUUCCAGGAAACACUUCCACGGAAGUAUCUCAAUUUUAUCUGCUUCACACUUUUCUGGCAGACGUUUCUCGGCUUGUUCUGAGAGCGUUGGGUCCGGCCAAGUCUCUUUAGCCUCAAAAAGCCAGGACCAGGUGGUUGCAGGGUGUCAAGCCAGCCCCAGGGGUUGCACUAUCGAUGGAAAGCAUAGGGCAUCCAAGCAACCCUUGGCAGCCGUGCUCCCCAGUCCUGAUGCCCGGCCGGUGCCAGGGAACACAGCCGCAAAGGGGACCCGCUGCCUCCUUUAGCCAGCUGGCCGCUGAGACCAGGCAAUAGUGUUUGGUUGUCACGGGGCUGAUGAGGCCUGAGGAAGGAAAGCAGGACUCAGGCCACAUUCAUCAUUCUCCGGGUAGAAAGCUUCAGUCCCAGAGGUUUGGCUGCUUGGGUUUUUUUUGGACGUAUCACUGCAAUAGGAAAUGCAGAAGGCAGACAGAAACCUCCCCAGCCCCGUGGUUGUCAGCGUGGAGGCCUGUCUUUGUACCCUUCCAUCAGCUGCAUCUUUCUCUCCGUGAGUGAGCUGUGCAUUUUGAAUCUUACCCAGCACGUCUCUGCAUCUCUGGGGGCAUCGCGAACUGCAGACCCCGGGUUUAACCUUCUCAAGAAAAGUGGGGCUUUUCUCUUUGAAUAUUUCACCUUCGAAAUCGAAAAUGUUUCUUCCCACAGUAAUCAGAAGUGUGCACAUCAGAGGACAUGGAGGGAGAGUUUAGGGCUGUUGGAGGGGAGGCGAUGGUUCGUAGAGCAAGGUCCCCAAGCAGGCAGAGGGGUGGAAGGUUGAGGGCACCGGGGGAAAGGCCCCCAUUUGUCAUUGCUCCUUCGGUCCCACCGCUUGUCCCCUUCUGGCCUUGCUGGUACUGUGCUCACCUUCCCGGGAUGUAGCUGGAAGUGCUGGGUGUCUGUGGUGUCAUUAACGGAGCUCCUGGACACUUGAGAGGCAGACGGGGUGGAAGCGAUGAGCAAGGAUGAUGCUGGGCUCUGGGGUGUUUUCCUGUCUCCCGUCUAGAGCCGUGCUUCCUGCCUUCCUCUCUCUCCUCGAGGCUCCCUUAGGAAAGUCAGAGCCUGGCAUGGAAGCAGCAGCCCACAGCUCAAGAGCCUCUGGACGGCCAGGCCCCACUCGGCUGCCCUGGGCUGGGGGACAACUGAACCACAAACCAGGAGAACUGGUUGAGAGGCUCUGAUCUAGAGAACCAUCCGCCUCACAGUGCAGAUCACGCCUGUGCUCCGCUGUCCAGGACCCUCCAUUUACCAAGCCCUCUUGCUGCCGAAAGUUGGAAAUUCAAAGCAGGUGUUUGGUUUUGGAGAUGCUGAAGUCUGGCCCCUUGAUAGGACUUCAGAACAACCUGAGAGCCUGGGAGUUCCUGUCGUGGCUCAGCAAUAACAAACUCAACUAGUAUCCAUGAGGAUACAGGUUUGAUGCCUGGUCCCGCUCAGUGGGUUAAGGAUCUGGCAUUGCUGUGAGCUGUGGUGUAGGUGGCAGAUGAGGCUCAGAUUCCGCGUGGCUGUGGCUGGGGCGUAGGCCAGCUCCGAGUCGACCCUUAGCCUAGGAACUUCCAGAUGCCUCAGGUGAGGCCCUUGGAAAAAAAAAAAAAAAAAAAGGAAAAAACUGAGGGUCAAAGAGUCUCAAGCUGAGGCAUGGUGUUGGGAGCAGAACUGUAACCACAGAAUAAGUGUGAAUGAGGAGGCAUGACGUCACAUCACACAGGUGCAUGUGUGCCCGUGUGUACGUGCAUGCACAUACAUUCACACGUGUCCACACACCAGGUUUAGCAGGGCUCCUCUGCUUCUUUUAAAGUAUCAGGUUUUCAUAUUUCCUUCUAACAACGUGUCUUACAACCAAAUAGAAAUUUUAAACCUCGGGGCUCUGCCACGUUGCCUCCAACUCAAACCCACUCCCCAUCGGGAACUCAAAAGAGGGGAGGCUGGUGUCCAGAGCGGUCACCCUUUGGGCAACGGCCACAGCAUCACGAGCUCUUAGGGACCCAUGCCUGAUGUCAUUUGUCAUCAGCCCAUUUCUAGCUUGAGAGGCCCCUGAUACUGCACAGUGAAUUACCGCAGCAGCCUCCAGCUGGUCUCCCUGGGUCCAGCCUCACUUCUCCCACCUGUAAUGUAGCCAGAAGGGGCUCCUUAGAAACUACAUGCCUGCUGGUGCUACUUUUUUUUUUCCUCCUCUCUUUGUGCCCUUUUGAUUAACCAGCUCUUCCGCAGCAUUCAGGUGCAGCAUAAAUGUUCCUGUGGGGACCUUCUCAAUUCACCACGUCUGUCCUGGGCAUCCCUAUCAUCCUUCUCACUUACCUCUUAGGUCUCUGAUCACACUGUUUGGAAGCUGUCUGCUUUUCUCCCCCGACCCUAAAGAUGCCCUCUAGGACCGUGGGUCUGUCCCAUCUGUGGCUGUGGCCCCAGGGCCUGGCAUAAACAAGAAGGGCAUCCAGCUAGCACCUCUGCUGCCUGAACUUUAGUUUCUGCUUCAGUCUCCAGUGCCUGUCUCUGCUUAUUGUUCUGUUUUAAAGCCUUAGCAUCUCAGUGGUAUCAAGGCGCUCCUAUAAACAAACAGCUUAGCACCAGCAAUGUCCCAGGACCAGGCUAUAUUUAGCACAAUUUGCUCAUAAUUACUGUUCAUCAUUAUGACCCUAGGACACUAUAAAAGUCUUAAGUGCCCUUGACUCAUCAGAGGCAAAUUAAAUUAUGCAUUUAGCAAACAUUUUCGUAUCCACUUUGCACCAAGCAUGUGUAAGGUGUGUAAGAAUGGAUGAAAUGGGUCCCGCCUCCUGGAACUGACCAUGGAGCUUUUAUAUUUUGUUCAUGUUUCUUCCUAUGUUGAAGAUAGCAAAACCCAAACAAGUUAAGCCCCUGAAAAAGGCAAGCUCCAUUUGAAGGAUACUGACACCCCACAGUCUGAGGCCCCAAAGACACUUGCUGCUCUUCAUUCAAGCACAGGGGUGGGAUAAACCUCCCUGAUUUGGAGGCUACAAGGAUGUAUCUGAGGCAAACUCUGCCCUCAAAAACUCACAGUCUUGGCAUUCCCAUUGUGGCUCCGUGGGUUAAGAACCUGACUAGUAUCCAUGAGGAUGCGGGUUCAAUCCCUGGCCUUGCUCAGUGAACUAAGGAUCCAGUGUUACCACAGACGUGGCUCGGAUCUGGCGUUGCCAUGGCUGUGGCAUAGGCCGGCAGCUGCAGCUUUAAUUUGACC